rnacentral:lncRNA from 1 species
UUGGUUAGUAUUGAUGUGGAUACAUUACUAAUUUUGUAGGGCCAAUACUAAAGUUUAUGAAGAGAGAUUCCUAAUGUAUGGUGAAAAAUCAUCAUGACGUCCACAAAGAGAGAAUGCAACUUGUAGUAAUAUUGUACAUUAAAUCUUUCCUUUACCUUAACCAUUGGAGACGAUUUAUAUUUAAUUUUUACCUUUUAAAUGUAUUUCGAAUAAUGUUGCUAACAUCAUUCUAGGUUCGAGGGAUCAACUCAUCAUCAACAUGUACAGCUUUGUAAUCAUUGCUCUCUCCCUAAGUAAAAUAUCUUCCUUCAUCUCGGUGACUAUUUAACCUAUCAAUUCACCUUUAUUUAGUCACUUUCGAAUAUACUAAUAUUUUUGUUACUUGACAGGGUUCAAAUGUUUUUACUUUACAGUUUACACCUCUCGCUUUGCUUGUAGAUGCGACCUGAAACAUUGUGUAUGUUUCUCAUUGCAGAUCUUACUCUUACAAACAUGAGAAACUGAAAAUCAAGUCCAUCCGGUGCCAAGUACCAAAUCAUUCAACAUGUUAUAUAAAACAUAAGAAUGCUGGUUAAGGAUAAUUGUGAUCAGUUGAUCAUAAAGCCCU